rnacentral:rRNA from 1 species
GUGUCAGCCGCCGCGGUAAUACGUAGGGUCCAAGCGUUAUCCGGAAUCACUGGGCGUAAAGCGUGCGUAGGUGGAUGUUUAAGUGUGAUGUUAAAUCGUGUGGCUCAACCAUAUCGAUGUGUCGCAUACUGGGCAUCUAGAGGACAGCAGAGGCAAGUGGAAUUGGUAGUGUAGCAGUGAAAUGCGUAGAUAUUACCAGGAACACCAAUGGCGAAGGCAGCUUGCUGGGCUACUCCUGACACUGAGGUACGAAAGCGUGGGGAGCGAACAGGAUUAGAUACCCGGGUAGUCC